rnacentral:rRNA from 1 species
CUUGAUUUGAUUCUUCGGAUGAAGAUCUUGGUGACUGAGUGGCGGACGGGUGAGUAACGCGUGGGUAACCUGCCUCAUACAGGGGGAUAACAGUUAGAAAUGACUGCUAAUACCGCAUAAGACCACAGCACCGCAUGGUGCAGGGGCAAAAACUCCGGUGGUAUGAGAUGGACCCGCGUCUGAUUAGGUAGUUGGUGGGGUAACGGCCUACCAAGCCGACGAUCAGUAGCCGACCUGAGAGGGUGACCGGCCACAUUGGGACUGAGACACGGCCCAAACUCCUACGGGAGGCAGCAGUGGGGAAUAUUGCACAAUGGGGGAAACCCUGAUGCAGCGACGCCGCGUGAGCGAUGAAGUAUUUCGGUAUGUAAAGCUCUAUCAGCAGGGAAGAAAAUGACGGUACCUGACUAAGAAGCACCGGCUAAAUACGUGCCAGCAGCCGCGGUAAUACGUAUGGUGCAAGCGUUAUCCGGAUUUACUGGGUGUAAAGGGAGCGUAGACGGAGUGGCAAGUCUGAUGUGAAAACCCGGGGCUCAACCCCGGGACUGCAUUGGAAACUGUCAAUCUAGAGUACCGGAGAGGUAAGCGGAAUUCCUAGUGUAGCGGUGAAAUGCGU